GGCAUGGCCUUACCUCCUGCUGCUGCUCUGCCGGAUCCUGCCUGACGCUAACGCCACUGUCUCCGCUCCUGGUCCUGGUCUAUUCCGGUCCUGAUCCCACCGUCGAUGCCGGGAAUCGGGGGCCCCAGGUCCAGGGUCUGUGGCGAAAGAACAGGUGGUCAAAACCCAAUGAAAUAAGAGUAGCAGCAUAUUUGAGAAUCACAACUCGCUCCCAAUUACCUGGAUUUCUACAUUGAUUACCAACAAAAUGAGUUCCCCUUUAAGCAACUGCUCCCCAGUUACAGACACUCCUCCGCAUCAGACCACAAG